CAAACAUGUAGAUCCUCUGGUUCGUGGCAGCUACAGCCGGGUGCAGCACAGCUUCAGAUGCUGUCACUCGCCUGUCUGACCCGAGCCCCCCCAGGACAAAGAUAAAGUGUAGGAAAAGGGAUGACAGAGCAAACAGAGCAGCAAUGUGCGUGUUAGGAGGAUGCUGUGAUGGCGGA